AGGACUCUGCAAGCCUUCCAAGCCCUUCGCCUCUGGACUCAGGCGUGCCUGCACUGAACACAGUUGCACAGCAGACUGGUCUGCCUGGUGUCUGCCUCAGAGCUCACCCAAAAGAAACUUGGCAAUGGAGCGCUCUGGAGCCGAAUCCGCAAGCUCCGAGGUGGAAGACAUUACAAAAGGCCUCUCCGAGUUGUCUAGUCACGCAAAAACAAACAGUGUUUGGGGCCUAGAAGAGCUGUAUGCACGACAUACAAGACCCCCAUGGACAUCAAUAGUGACCAAGGGAUCCACUUUGUCGGCCAUGAAGUUCAGGAAUGGGCCUAUAAGAAUGACACACACCGGCAACUCCCCCCGCCUCACAACCCCACUGCUGCUGGGCUGUGAAUGAGCUGCUUCAACAACUGAGACGGGAAACCCGCUCCUUCAACGUGUGGACACAUCCCAGGAGCGAUCGUCCCAGUGCUGACGCCAUGUUAACCCAGAGGCAACUAGUCAACGCCAUUCGGGUUCAACUGUUGACCACUGAAGGACCGCUGCCAACUGCUGGCCAGGACAAUAACUCACUUCUGCCCUCGCCACAGGCUCUACCCCCAGGGGAACACAUUCUAACAUGGCCCUGGGACUGGCAGACCACCCACCACCACCACCACCACCACUGUAGGAAAGACUGCUGUUGUGUCCUGCUCACUGGCUGCCUCACGUGGU